GAUGAAGAACGCAGCGAAAUGCGAUGAGUAGUGUGAAUUGCAGAAUUCAGUGAAUCAUCGAAUCUUUGAACGCACAUUGCGCCCCUUGGUAUUCCAUGGGGCAUGCCUGUUCGAGCGUCAUUUGUACCUUCAAGCUCUGCUUGGUGUUGGGUGUUUGUCUCGCCUCUGCGUGUAGACUCGCCUUAAAACAAUUGGCAGCCGGCGUAUUGAUUUCGGAGCGCAGUACAUCUCGCGCUUUGCACUCAUAACGACGACGUCCAAAAGUACAUUUUUACACUCUUGACCUCGGAUCAGGUAGGGAUACCCGCUGAACUUAAGCAUAUCAAUAAGCGGAGGA
rnacentral:misc_RNA from 1 species